GACGAACGCCGGCGGCGUGCUUAACACAUGCAAGUCGAACGAUGAAGCCGGAGCUUGCUCUGGUGAAUUAGUGGCGAACGGGUGAGUAACACGUGAGUAACCUGCCCUUGACUCUGGGAUAACUGCGGGAAACUGUAGCUAAUACCGGAUACGACCCUCGGAGGCAUCUCCUGGGGGUGGAAAGAAUUUCGGUCAAGGAUGGACUCGCGGCCUAUCAGCUAGUUGGUGAGGUAAAGGCGCACCAAGGCGACGACGGGUAGCCGGCCUGAGAGGGUGACCGGCCACACUGGGACUGAGACACGGCCCAGACUCCUACGGGAGGCAGCAGUGGGGAAUAUUGCACAAUGGGCGCAAGCCUGAUGCAGCAACGCCGCGUGAGGGAUGACGGCCUUCGGGUUGUAAACCUCUUUUAGCAGGGAAGAAGCGAAAGUGACGGUACCUGCAGAAAAAGCACCGGCUAACUACGUGCCAGCCGCCGCGGUAA
rnacentral:rRNA from 1 species